CGCGGGGUAGAGCAGCUUGGUAGCUCGCGAGGCUCAUAACCUUGAGGUCACGGGUUCAAAUCCUGUCUCCGCAA
rnacentral:tRNA from 1 species